UAGCGUAGGGUGCAAGCGUUAAUCGGAAUUACUGGGCGUAAAGCGUGCGCAGGCGGUUGUGCAAGACCGAUGUGGAAAUCCCCGGCUUAACCUGGGAAUGGCAUUGGUGACUGCACGGCUAGAGUGUGUCAGAGGGGGGUAGAAUUCCACGUGUAGCAGUGAAAUGCGUAGAGAUGUGGAGGAAUACCGAUGGCGAAGGCAGCCCCCUGGGAUAACACUGACGCUCAUGCACGAAAGCGUGGGGAGCAAACAGG
rnacentral:rRNA from 1 species